UUAAUAAGUGUUACAAAUAUGCUGCCAAUAUCUAUAUCAAGCAAGAGAGGGGGAGGGAGAGAGAGAGAGAGAGAGAGCGCAUCAGACAUUCAUCAUGUAUUAUACAAUACAUACCUUGUUGUACAAAAUAACUCCUGAGGACUACAAUAUGUAGACAAAAAGAUACAAGUAGGUCAACAAAUGUUGUUUGCUGACCAUUGUAUCUAUUUAGUUUCCCGUAAGCAAUCACGUCAGGGAGUUCUAGCUGACCAAACUUCGUCAAGACUUAAGUAUUUGAACUCUAGAAGAGUUCUAGACAGAGUUGAG
rnacentral:lncRNA from 1 species